AGUGAACGCUGGCGGUAGGCCUAACACAUGCAAGUCGAACGGCAGCACAGAGGAGCUUGCUCCUUGGGUGGCGAGUGGCGGACGGGUGAGGAAUACAUCGGAAUCUACUCUGUCGUGGGGGAUAACGUAGGGAAACUUACGCUAAUACCGCAUACGACCUACGGGUGAAAGCAGGGGACCUUCGGGCCUUGCGCGAUUGAAUGAGCCGAUGUCGGAUUAGCUAGUUGGCGGGGUAAAGGCCCACCAAGGCGACGAUCCGUAGCUGGUCUGAGAGGAUGAUCAGCCACACUGGAACUGAGACACGGUCCAGACUCCUACGGGAGGCAGCAGUGGGGAAUAUUGGACAAUGGGCGCAAGCCUGAUCCAGCCAUACCGCGUGGGUGAAGAAGGCCUUCGGGUUGUAAAGCCCUUUUGUUGGGAAAGAAAUCCAUCUGGUUAAUACCCGGGUGGGAUGACGGUACCCAAAGAAUAAGCACCGGCUAACUUCGUGCCAGCCGCCGCAGUAA
rnacentral:rRNA from 1 species